UCUGCAACUCGACUACAUGAAGCUGGAAUCGCUAGUAAUCGCAGAUCAGAAUGCUGCGGUGAAUACGUUCCCGGGUCUUGUACACACCGCCCGUCACACCAUGGGAGUCGGAAAUGCCCGAAGCCGGUGACCCAACCAAAAGGAGGGAGCCGUCGAAGGCAGGUCUGAUAACUGGGGUGAAGUCGUAACAAGGUAGC
rnacentral:rRNA from 1 species